GCCUGGGUGGCUCAGUAGGUUAAGUGUCUGACUUCAGUUCAGGUUAUGAUCUCACGGUUCGUGGGUUCCAGCCCCGCGUCGGGCU
rnacentral:tRNA from 1 species